rnacentral:piRNA from 1 species
CAGUAUCUGGGUAGAGGUCACA